rnacentral:rRNA from 1 species
GUGGGGAAUUUUGGACAAUGGGCGCAAGCCUGAUCCAGCCAUGCCGCGUGUGUGAAGAAGGCCUUCGGGUUGUAAAGCACUUUCGGACGGAACGAAAUCGCGCGGACGAACAUUCCGCGUGGAUGACGGUACCGUAAGAAGAAGCACCGGCUAACUACGUGCCAGCAGCCGCGGUAAUACGUAGGGUGCGAGCGUUAAUCGGAAUUACUGGGCGUAAAGGGUGCGCAGGCGGCCCCGCCAGUCAGACGUGAAAUCCCCGAGCUCAACUUGGGAAUGGCGUUUGAAACUACGGGGCUGGAGUGUGGCAGAGGGAGGUGGAAUUCCACGUGUAGCGGUGAAAUGCGUAGAGAUGUGGAGGAACACCAAUGGCGAAGGCAGCCUCCUGGGCCAACACUGACGCUCAUGCACGAAAGCGUGGGGAGCAAACAGGAUUAGAAACCCGUGUAGUCC